UUUGGGCUUGAUGCGAUUGGUUAGAGCUCUCUCCUUGAUGUGAUUUCUUUUGGGCUUGGUGGUCGGCCCAAACUGAAUUCGGUAAAGAGAGUCCGAAUCUUAUCCUCCAUUCGUGCCUCGAAGGCUUCGAAUUUAGCAUUGAUUGUCUCCUCAGAUGCCAUAGUAUAUGCCUCGAAAUCUGUGAUGUUAAGAUCUCUCUUUUGUUGACGGGUUAAAGGCAU
rnacentral:lncRNA from 1 species